rnacentral:rRNA from 1 species
GGGUUGUGAGGUUAAGCGACUAAGCGUACACGGUGGAUGCCCUGGCAGUCAGAGGCGAUGAAGGACGUGCUAAUCUGCGAUAAGCGUCGGUAAGGUGAUAUGAACCGUUAUAACCGGCGAUUUCCGAAUGGGGAAACCCAGUGUGWUUCGWCACACUAUCAUUAACUGAAUCCAUAGGUUAAUGAGGCGAACCGGGGGAACUGAAACAUCUAAGUACCCCGAGGAAAAGAAAUCAACCGAGAUUCCCCCAGUAGCGGCGAGCGAACGGGGAGCAGCCCAGAGCCUGAAUCAGUGUGUGUGUUAGUGGAAGCGUCUGGAAAGGCGCGCGAUACAGGGUGACAGCCCCGUACACAAAAAURCACAURCUGUGAGCUCGAUGAGUAGGGCGGGACACGUGGUAUCCUGUCUGAAUAUGGGGGGACCAUCCUCCAAGGCUAAAUACUCCUGACUGACCGAUAGUGAACCAGUACCGUGAGGGAAAGGCGAAAAGAACCCCGGCGAGGGGAGUGAAAAAGAACCUGAAACCGUGUACGUACAAGCAGUGGGAGCACAGAGCAAUCUGUGUGACUGCGUACCUUUUGUAUAAUGGGUCAGCGACUUAUAUUCUGUAGCAAGGUUAACCGAAUAGGGGAGCCGAAGGGAAACCGAGUCUUAACUGGGCGUUAAGUUGCAGGGUAUAGACCCGAAACCCGGUGAUCUAGCCAUGGGCAGGUUGAAGGUUGGGUAACACUAACUGGAGGACCGAACCGACUAAUGUUGAAAAAUUAGCGGAUGACUUGUGGCUGGGGGUGAAAGGCCAAUCAAACCGGGAGAUAGCUGGUUCUCCCCGAAAGCUAUUUAGGUAGCGCCUCGUGAAUUCAUCUCCGGGGGUAGAGCACUGUUUCGGCAAGGGGGUCAUCCCGACUUACCAACCCGAUGCAAACUGCGAAUACCGGAGAAUGUUAUCACGGGAGACACACGGCGGGUGCUAACGUCCGUCGUGAAGAGGGAAACAACCCAGACCGCCAGCUAAGGUCCCAAAGUCAUGGUUAAGUGGGAAACGAUGUGGGAAGGCCCAGACAGCCAGGAUGUUGGCUUAGAAGCAGCCAUCAUUUAAAGAAAGCGUAAUAGCUCACUGGUCGAGUCGGCCUGCGCGGAAGAUGUAACGGGGCUAAACCAUGCACCGAAGCUGCGGCAGCGACGCUKAUGCGUUGUUGGGUAGGGGAGCGUUCUGUAAGCCUGYGAAGGUGURCUGUGAGGYAUGCUGGAGGUAUCAGAAGUGCGAAUGCUGACAUAAGUAACGAUAAAGCGGGUGAAAAGCCCGCUCGCCGGAAGACCAAGGGUUCCUGUCCAACGUUAAUCGGGGCAGGGUGAGUCGACCCCUAAGGCGAGGCCGAAAGGCGUAGUCGAUGGGAAACAGGUUAAUAUUCCUGUACUUGGUGUUACUGCGAAGGGGGGACGGAGAAGGCUAUGUUGGCCGGGCGACGGUUGUCCCGGUUUAAGCGUGUAGGCUGGUUUUCCAGGCAAAUCCGGAAAAUCAAGGCUGAGGCGUGAUGACGAGGCACUACGGUGCUGAAGCAACAAAUGCCCUGCUUCCAGGAAAAGCCUCUAAGCAUCAGGUAACAUCAAAUCGUACCCCAAACCGACACAGGUGGUCAGGUAGAGAAUACCAAGGCGCUUGAGAGAACUCGGGUGAAGGAACUAGGCAAAAUGGUGCCGUAACUUCGGGAGAAGGCACGCUGAUAUGUAGGUGAAGUCCCUCGCGGAUGGAGCUGAAAUCAGUCGAAGAUACCAGCUGGCUGCAACUGUUUAUUAAAAACACAGCACUGUGCAAACACGAAAGUGGACGUAUACGGUGUGACGCCUGCCCGGUGCCGGAAGGUUAAUUGAUGGGGUUAGCGCAAGCGAAGCUCUUGAUCGAAGCCCCGGUAAACGGCGGCCGUAACUAUAACGGUCCUAAGGUAGCGAAAUUCCUUGUCGGGUAAGUUCCGACCUGCACGAAUGGCGUAAUGAUGGCCAGGCUGUCUCCACCCGAGACUCAGUGAAAUUGAACUCGCUGUGAAGAUGCAGUGUACCCGCGGCAAGACGGAAAGACCCCGUGAACCUUUACUAUAGCUUGACACUGAACAUUGAGCCUUGAUGUGUAGGAUAGGUGGGAGGCUUUGAAGUGUGGACGCCAGUCUGCAUGGAGCCGACCUUGAAAUACCACCCUUUAAUGUUUGAUGUUCUAACGUUGACCCGUGAUCCGGGUUGCGGACAGUGUCUGGUGGGUAGUUUGACUGGGGCGGUCUCCUCCUAAAGAGUAACGGAGGAGCACGAAGGUUGGCUAAUCCUGGUCGGACAUCAGGAGGUUAGUGCAAUGGCAUAAGCCAGCUUGACUGCGAGCGUGACGGCGCGAGCAGGUGCGAAAGCAGGUCAUAGUGAUCCGGUGGUUCUGAAUGGAAGGGCCAUCGCUCAACGGAUAAAAGGUACUCCGGGGAUAACAGGCUGAUACCGCCCAAGAGUUCAUAUCGACGGCGGUGUUUGGCACCUCGAUGUCGGCUCAUCACAUCCUGGGGCUGAAGUAGGUCCCAAGGGUAUGGCUGUUCGCCAUUUAAAGUGGUACGCGAGCUGGGUUUAGAACGUCGUGAGACAGUUCGGUCCCUAUCUGCCGUGGGCGCUGGAGAACUGAGGGGGGCUGCUCCUAGUACGAGAGGACCGGAGUGGACGCAUCACUGGUGUUCGGGUUGUCAUGCCAAUGGCACUGCCCGGUAGCUAAAUGCGGAAGAGAUAAGUGCUGAAAGCAUCUAAGCACGAAACUUGCCCCGAGAUGAGUUCUCCCUGACUCCUUGAGAGUCCUGAAGGAACGUUGAAGACGACGACGUUGAUAGGCCGGGUGUGUAAGCGCAGCGAUGCGUUGAGCUAACCGGUACUAAUGAACCGUGAGGCUUAACCUUACAACGCCGAAGMUGUU